rnacentral:lncRNA from 1 species
AACAAUUUCACAUAAUUGUUACUAUCAUGGUUAAGAUUAGAAUUUUUUUUUAUUUUUUAGAAAUAUCUUUUAUUUAGGAUUUUAGGAAAAGAUGAAGUUAUUUCACAUAAUUACAGUUUUUAUUGACACAUUCACAAUCUAGUUUUUUUAGUUGACACAUGUCACAAUCAUAUCAUGUGAAUAUUUGAAGUUAAUUUUGUUUUAUAUUUUUUAACACAAAACUA